CAGGAGGUGAUAUAUAAGUAAAUCUGAGAACUGGAGAUGAUGAUGCCAGACAGAAUAUUAAUAAAAUCUCCUUACUCCUGCUUCUAACAUAUCUCGGGAAGUAAAGAAGAUAAUUUAGCUGCGUACCAGUUGCACACAAACUACUCCCUACUGCCAAAUGUUACAGACAAGAAGUUGCCAGGAAAACAGUGCAUCUCAAGAAUGGAGGUAUAUCUAUGGGUUACUUGGCAGCACAAAGUGACGGCAAGCUCCACAGAGCAUCGUUUCCCUGAUUGCAAUGAAAUUAUCCCACAAUUUUUCUCCCCUUGAUUUCCAAAAUAAUUUUUACAAAAGAAAUUUUUUAUGUCUCUGCAGCUGCCACUCUCUACAAUCUAAAGGAUACUGCUACUGACCCACUUGUGUCUAUAGUCCAGUUCAUACCACAAAUUGAACGAAAACCUACUGACUUCCAUGUUGUAAGGGGUUUCAUUCAUAUCAAAGAAGUGCUAUAGUUCCUUUGACCUUAUGAUCCUUUUAUCUAAAGUAACAAAAA